CGCGCCACAUUCCUCGUGACAUUGUAGUAAAGUAUAGAGUGGUAUACUUAUAAAGAGAAAGUGUUGACUAUAUAUAUACUUCUACCUCGACUUCUACUUACGUCAUUAUUCAAAAAAUAAGUGGUCCAGAAUGUAAAAUUUUUCCACUAUCAGGACGACCGGCGUGCAUACACAAUAUUUGGAAUAGAAUUGCUAGAAAGACACCAAUUCUUAUUGUAAAUGAUCUGGAUUUAAUAAAGGAUGUCCCUAUCAAAGAUUUCUUCAUUUUCGGUAAUAGAGGCUCUCCCAUUUCCGAAAAGGCCGAGUCGCUGUCGCAAAAUCUUUUCGCUUUGAAACUGAAAAGAUAACGACCGCUCUGAGAAUAAAAUAAAUGUGUCACCUGUUUUUACAUCUGGUAAAUUAAAGAUGUAUAUUAGAAUGUGCUGACCACCUUGUCCAAUACAUGAAAAAAGUAGCGAGCGGAAAUGAACCUGUAGAAUGUCAUGAAUUGACGACUAAAUAUUACUACUGACGUUAUCGGUAGCUGUGCGUCGAGAUGAACGCUCUGUCUCGAACGGAGAUAAUAAAUUUCGCAAGAUGGGAAGAGUAUUCGCUCCGACUUAGACAAAUCUAUUAAUAACCAGAUUAAGGAUAAAACAAAUGUUUCCGUGGCUUUACGAAUUGUCCGCGUAAAACGGACAAACAGUUGCGCAAAUUAUCGCAAACAGUUGAGUCAUCAAAUUCUUCAUAUUUGUAAAAAUAACACACUUGAAUCGUCGUGUUGUGAGAUUUAUAUUUUUAAACGCUUUGAAAAAGUCUUUGGAAGGUAUAUAUUUAUUGAGUUUUGUUUUGUGUGGAAAGAGGAAUCAUAUUUCUCUUUUCGAUCUUCUACGAGUAAUUUUGUAAACUCUUCUUCAAAUAAUUACAUCAAGUGAUCACAUUUAGUGUCAAGCGUUUUGCGAUACCUACAGAACGGUUAAAAUGAGGGGACAAAGAUGGUUGGCAAAAUAUUAUACAUUAGAAGAAAAUUCUGAUUCAGUAAAGUGUAAUGUAAGUGUAAGUUGUGAAGAAGUUUUUUCUUAUCCCGAUCGAGAGAAAAAGUUAAAAGAUCACUUAUGCGAUAUACAUAACAUAACCAAACUAGACGCACAUCCAAAACGUGGCUUUAUACUACAGAAUUACGUAUUAGUAUCAAAAUACGAAGGAACAUGCAAUCAUUGCAACAGAAAAAUAAAAUUUAAACGGGAUAAGCCAAACAUGUUAAUAUGGCAUUUAAAAUGUACUCACCCUGAUAAAUGGCACUCUAUUAAUGCGAGAGAUGUUAAAAAAAGAGUUGACGUAUGGAACAAGUUUGACGUAAAUGGCAGGGAUGCGAAAUGCAAAACGUGUCAGAAGGUUAUAAAACAUAACAAUAUGACUUGUCAUUUACGGAGUCACUUGCGAGCUUGUGAAAAUGUGAUAAAAAGGUCGAACAUAUGGAACAAGUUUG